AGUGAACGCUGGCGGUAGGCCUAACACAUGCAAGUCGAACGGCAGCACAGUAAGAGCUUGCUCUUACGGGUGGCGAGUGGCGGACGGGUGAGGAAUACAUCGGAAUCUACUUUUUCGUGGGGGAUAACGGAGGGAAACUUACGCUAAUACCGCAUACGACCUACGGGUGAAAGCAGGGGAUCUUCGGACCUUGCGCGAUUGAAUGAGCCGAUGUCGGAUUAGCUAGUUGGCGGGGUAAAGGCCCACCAAGGCGACGAUCCGUAGCUGGUCUGAGAGGAUGAUCAGCCACACUGGAACUGAGACACGGUCCAGACUCCUACGGGAGGCAGCAGUGGGGAAUCUUGGACAAUGGGCGCAAGCCUGAUCCAGCCAUACCGCGUGAGUGAAGAAGGCCUUCGGGUUGUAAAGCCCUUUUGUUGGGAAAGAAAAGCAGCAGGUUAAUACCCCGCUGUUCUGACGGUACCCAAAGAAUAAGCACCGGCUAACUUCGUG
rnacentral:rRNA from 1 species